rnacentral:lncRNA from 1 species
AAAUUCGAAAUAGAUCACUUAUUGUGGCAGCUCGAAGUAGACCGCUUGUAGUAGAAGUUCGAAGUAGACUGCUUAUAGUAGAAGUUCGGAGUAGAUCGCUUGUGGUGGGGGCUCAGAGUCCGACCCUUGUCAGAAUUCGGAUGAGGCCUACCUGCAAUAGGAGUUCAGGGCUAAAGUCUGGCUCCCGUAGGAGCUCGGACGAAGUCUACCUGC